rnacentral:rRNA from 1 species
GCACCCGCGGUAAUUCCAGCUCCAAUAGCGUAUAUUAAAGUUGUUGCAGUUAAAAAGCUCGUAGUUGAAGUUUGGUCUCGGACGCUGGGUCUGCUUAAUUGCAUGUACUUGACGGUCCGAGACUUCCUUCUUGGUGAACGGCCGCCUUCGGGUGGUCCGGAACCAGGACUAUUACUUUGAAAAAAUUAGAGUGUUCAAAGCAGGCCUUAGGCCCGAAUAUAUUAGCAUGGAAUAACAGAAUAGGACGUGCGGUUCUAUUUUGUUGGUUUCUAGAACUGCCGUAAUGAUUAAAAGGGACAGCCGGGGGCAUUAGUAUUUGCACGCUAGAGGUGAAAUUCUUGGAUUGUGCAAAGACUUACUACUGCGAAAGCAUUUGCCAAGAAUGUUUUCAUUAAUCAAGAACGAAAGUAG